rnacentral:rRNA from 1 species
CUACACGGGUUUCUAAUCCUGUUUGAUCCCCACGCUGUCGCGCCUGAGCGUCAGAUAUGAGCCAGUGAGCCGCCUUCGCCACCGGUGUUCUUCCCAAUAUCUACGAAUUUCACCUCUACACUGGGAAUUCCACUCACCUCUCUCAUCCUCAAGUCUGACAGUUUCAAUGGCAAUUCCGGAGUUGAGCUCCGGGCUUUCACCACUGACUUGAAAGACCGCCUGCGCGCGCUUUACGCCCAGUAAUUCCGAACAACGCUAGCCCCCUUCGUAUUACCGCGGCUGCUGGCAC